rnacentral:rRNA from 1 species
UACGUAGGGUGCAAGCGUUGUCCGGAAUUAUUGGGCGUAAAGAGCUCGUAGGCGGUCUGUCGCGUCGAAUGUGAAAACCCGGGGCUCAACCCCGGCCUGCAUUCGAUACGGGCAGACUAGAGUUCGGUAGGGGAGUCUGGAAUUCCUGGUGUAGCGGUGAAAUGCGCAGAUAUCAGGAGGAACACCGGUGGCGAAGGCGGGACUCUGGGCCGAUACUGACGCUGAGGAGCGAAAGCGUGGGGAGCGAACAGG